UGACGGUAUCUAACCAGAAAGCCACGGCUAACUACGUGCCAGCAGCCGCGGUAAUACGUAGGGCGCGAGCGUUGUCCGGAAUUAUUGGGCGUAAAGAGCUUGUAGGCGGUUUGUCGCGUCUGCUGUGAAAGGCCGGAGCUUAACUCCGUGUAUUGCAGUGGGUACGGGCAGACUAGAGUGCAGUAGGGGAGACUGGAAUUCCUGGUGUAGCGGUGGAAUGCGCAGAUAUCAGGAGGAACACCGAUGGCGAAGGCAG
rnacentral:rRNA from 1 species